rnacentral:rRNA from 1 species
GAUGAACGCUGGCGGCGUGCCUAAUACAUGCAAGUCGAGCGAACGGACGAGAAGCUUGCUUCUCUGAUGUUAGCGGCGGACGGGUGAGUAACACGUGGAUAACCUACCUAUAAGACUGGGAUAACUUCGGGAAACCGGAGCUAAUACCGGAUAAUAUUUUGAACCGCAUGGUUCAAAAGUGAAAGACUGUCUUGCUGUCACUUAUAGAUGGAUCCGCGCUGCAUUAGCUAGUUUGUAAGGUAACGGCUUACCAAGGCAACGAUGCAUAGCCGACCUGAGAGGGUGAUCGGCACAACUGGAACUGAGAAACGGUCCAGACACCUACGGGAGGCAGCAGUAGGGAAAAAUACGCAAAGGGCGAAAGACUGAAGGAGAAAAGCCGCGUGAGUGAUGAAGGUCUUCGGAUCGUAAAACUCUGUUAUUAGGGAAGAAAAUAUGUGUAAGUAACUGUGCACAUCUUGAAGGAACAUAAUCAGAAAGCAACGGCAAACUACGU